rnacentral:rRNA from 1 species
GUUACAAAGUGUCACACGGUACUGCCGGUCUUAAGCCGGAGGAAGGUGGGGAUGACGUCAAGUCAGCAUGGCCUUUAUGUCCUGGGCUACACACACGCUACAAUGGCCAACACAAUAGGUUGCUAAGCCGCGAGGUGGAGCCAAUCCUCAAAAGUUGGUCUCAGUUCAGAUUGCAGGCUGCAACCCGCCUGCAUGAAGAUGGAGUUGCUAGUAACCGCCAAGGUCCAGCUAUACUGCGGUGAAUACGUUCCCGGGCUU